GGGGUGGAGAGGGGGCAGAGGUGAGGGGGGUGAGUAAGUGGGGGUGUGGGUGGCUGGGGGGGAGAGGAGAGAGGGUAGGAAGGAAAAAAUUGGAGGUAGGGUGAGGGAAGGGGGAGGGUUGAAGGGAAACUAAUGAAACAGAGGACAAAGGAGAAUAACAAGUCAAAAGCAAUGCAUGUAAAUACAGAGCAAGCAAGUAGGAAAGCUAGGCAUAGCACAGCAAAAGAGAGCACAGCAACAGAAGGCAAAGAAUGACAAAAAGCAACCUUGCAGGAAUGGAGGACUCUGGCCAGAGCUGUGCCCCUGCUUGCCACAGGAGCUGCGCGGGAGGAGAAGAAUGUGGGCCAAAAGGAAUGGAGGACUCUGGCCAGAGCUGUGCCCCUGCUUGCCACAGGAGCUGCGCGGGAGGAGAAGAAUGUGGGCCAAAAGGUAAGAGGAGCUCCUUGGUUUCUGGGCUUGAAGCAAAGCUGAGAAGCCAUGCCCGGGAGGAGGUGUUG
rnacentral:lncRNA from 7 species